AACGAACGCUGGCGGCAGGCUUAACACAUGCAAGUCGAACGGAUCCUUCGGGAUUAGUGGCAGACGGGUGAGUAACGCGUGGGAACGUACCCUUUGCUACGGAAUAACUCAGGGAAACUUGAGCUAAUACCGUAUGUGCCCUACGGGGGAAAGAUUUAUCGGCAAAGGAUCGGCCCGCGUUGGAUUAGCUUGUUGGUGGGGUAAUGGCCUACAACGGCGACGAUCCAUAGCUGGUUUGAGAGGAUGAUCAGCCACACUGGGACUGAGACACGGCCCAGACUCCUACAGGAGGCAGCAGUGGGGAAUAUUGGACAAUGGGCGCAGGCCUGAUCCAGCCAUGCCGCGUGAGUGAUGAAGGUCUUAGGAUUGUAAAGCUCUUUCACCGGUGAAGAUAAUGACGGUAGCCGGAGAAGAAGCCCCGGCUAACUUCGUG
rnacentral:rRNA from 1 species